UAAAGAAUCUUCCACAAUGGGGGAAACCCUGAUGGAGCGAUACCGCGUGAAUGAUGAAGGUCGAAAGGUUGUAAAGUUCUUUUCUGAGGGAAAAAUUCUGAUUGUACCUCAGGAAUAAGCACCGGCAAACUCCGUGCCAGCAGCCGCGGUAAUACGGAGGGUGCAAGCGUUAUCCGGAAUCAUUGGGCGUAAAGCGUCCGCAAGUGGUUUGUUAAGUUGGAUAUUAAAUCUUGAAGCCCAACUUCAAGGCUGUAUCCAAAACUGGCCGAACUAGAGACUUCUAUAGGUACGUGGAAUUCUGUGUGUAGGGGUAAAAUCCGUAGAUACACAGAGGAACACCAAAAGCGAAGGCAGCGUACUGGAGAAGUUCUGACACUCAUGGACGAAAGCGUGGGGAGCAAACGGG
rnacentral:rRNA from 1 species